rnacentral:rRNA from 1 species
UUUUACAAUGUAGAGUUUGAUCCUGGCUCAGGAUGAACGCUAGCUACAGGCUUAACACAUGCAAGUCGAGGGGCAGCAUGUUGGUUGCUUGCAACCAAUGAUGGCGACCGGCGCACGGGUGAGUAACGCGUAUCCAACCUACCCAAUACUCAGGCAUAACCCGUUGAAAGACGGACUAAUUC